UACGUAGGGUGCAAGCGUUAAUCGGAAUUACUGGGCGUAAAGCGUGCGCAGGCGGUUAUGUAAGACAGUUGUGAAAUCCCCGGGCUCAACCUGGGAACUGCAUCUGUGACUGCAUAGCUAGAGUACGGUAGAGGGGGAUGGAAUUCCGCGUGUAGCAGUGAAAUGCGUAGAUAUGCGGAGGAACACCAGUGGCGAAGGCGACUACCUGGCCUGUUCUUGACGCUGAGGCGCGAAAGCUAGGGGAGCAAACGGG
rnacentral:rRNA from 1 species